GCCUACGGGGGGCAGCAGUGAGGAAUAUUGGUCAAUGGGCGGGAGCCUGAACCAGCCAAGUCGCGUGAGGGAAGACGGUCCUAUGGAUUGUAAACCUCUUUAGGCGGGGAGCAAUGCCGGGCACGUGUGCCCGGAGGGAGAGUACCCGCAGAAUAAGCAUCGGCUAACUCCGUGCCAGCAGCCGCGGUAAUACGGAGGAUGCGAGCGUUAUCCGGAUUUAUUGGGUUUAAAGGGUGCGCAGGCGGUCUGUUAAGUCAGCGGUCAAAGCCCGGGGCGCAACCCCGGCCCGCCGUUGAAA
rnacentral:rRNA from 1 species